GAAAACAAUUUCCAGUGAGGUUAAGUUUUGCCAUGACAAUAAAUAAAUCACAGGGACAAACCAUCCCAAACGUAGGGAUCUACCUUCCAGAGCCCGUGUUCUCGCAUAGACAGCUUUAUGUUGGUUUAUCAAGGGGGGUGUCAAGAUCAACUACAAGAAUUCUAGCAAAACCAAAAGAGGAAUUGGAUACUACAGGGAAGAACACAAAGAAUAUAGUUUACAAAGAUGUCCUAAAUUGGUGAUAAACUGUUGGUAUACUCAGUGUUGACAGGUGCCAAACCUUAUCAAAGAUGACAUGGGACAUAUGACAUGACACAAAGAAAAAUGGCAUCUUCAUUGCCCUGAGACCAUAACAAGUUGAUGCACUUUGUCAAGAAAUAAUAGACUUUACUGAACAAAACAAUUGUUUGGUUGUACUGUAAUAAACUAUGUGUGUGUUGAAUUUCUGAUACAAAACUAUCUAUAUGUCUUACCUGAUAUAUAGGGAGCGCACUGCAGCUUCUCAGCAAGUCUGGUGAA